rnacentral:rRNA from 1 species
UACAGAGGUCCCAAGCGUUGUUCGGAUUCACUGGGCGUAAAGGGUGCGUAGGUGGUCGGAUAAGUCUGAUGUGAAAUCUCCGGGCCUAACCCGGAAACUGCAUCGGAUACUAUUCGGCUAGAGGGUUGGAGGGGGACUGGAAUGACUUGGUGUAGCAGUGAAAUGCGUAGAUAUCAAGUGGAACACCAGUGGCGAAGGCGAGUCCCUGGACAACUCCUGACACUGAGGCACGAAAGCUAGGGGAGCAAACAGG